rnacentral:rRNA from 1 species
UGGGGAAUAUUGCACAAUGGGCGCAAGCCUGAUGCAGCCAUGCCGCGUGUGUGAAGAAGGCCUUCGGGUUGUAAAGCACUUUCAGCGGGGAGGAAGGCGGUGAGGUUAAUAACCUCAUCGAUUGACGUUACCCGCAGAAGAAGCACCGGCUAACUCCGUGCCAGCAGCCGCGGUAAUACGGAGGGUGCAAGCGUUAAUCGGAAUUACUGGGCGUAAAGCGCACGCAGGCGGUCUGUCAAGUCGGAUGUGAAAUCCCCGGGCUCAACCUGGGAACUGCAUUCGAAACUGGCAGGCUAGAGUCUUGUAGAGGGGAGUAGAAUUCCAGGUGUAGCGGUGAAAGGCGUAGAGAUCUGGAGGAAUACCGGUGGCGAAGGCGGCCCCCUGGACAAAGACUGACGCUCAGGUGCGAAAGCGUGGGGAGCAAACAGG